rnacentral:lncRNA from 1 species
UAUGGUUCUGAAUGUGUUAUAAAACCUGAUCGAAUCGAAACCGGCACCUUCAUGCUUGCGGCGGCAAUUACUCGCUCAUGCAUAUUAAUGUCACCUGUCAUUCCUUCCCGUGUCUCAUGUUUGAUCGACAAACUCUCCCAAGCUGGCUGCAAAAUUUCACGGUUGGAUCAGCAAACAUUGCAGGUAUAGUAACAUAACAUGUUUACCUUUUUUCAUUUAGUUUAUUGUUUGUGUGACAAGAAAACUAUGAUCACAGGUUUCAGCACACCCAUCACAUAUUGGUUAUGAUUUGAAAAGUUUCGAUAUUAAGACGAACCCGUUUCCGGGAUUUCCAACAGAUCUGCAACCUCAAACAAUGGCACUUCUCACUACAUGCACUGGUUCC